GAUGAACGCUGGCGGCGUGCUUAACACAUGCAAGUCGAACGGGAAUUAUUUUAUUGAAACUUCGGUCGAUUUAAUUUAAUUCUAGUGGCGGACGGGUGAGUAACGCGUGGGUAACCUGCCUUAUACAGGGGGAUAACAGUCAGAAAUGGCUGCUAAUACCGCAUAAGCGCACAGAGCUGCAUGGCUCAGUGUGAAAAACUCCGGUGGUAUAAGAUGGACCCGCGUUGGAUUAGCUGGUUGGUGGGGUAACGGCCCACCAAGGCGACGAUCCAUAGCCGGCCUGAGAGGGUGAACGGCCACAUUGGGACUGAGACACGGCCCAGACUCCUACGGGAGGCAGCAGUGGGGAAUAUUGCACAAUGGGGGAAACCCUGAUGCAGCGACGCCGCGUGAAGGAAGAAGUAUCUCGGUAUGUAAACUUCUAUCAGCAGGGAAGAUAGCGACGGUACCUGACUAAGAAGCCCCGGCUAACUACGUG
rnacentral:rRNA from 1 species